CCCCCACCCACCCGCAGACGAGAGGGGACAGUGGCCCCGUGUACGUAAAGUGUUCAUUGCACAGAUUGCUACCCACCCGGCAGCAUGCCUCGUGGCUGUGGGUUAAAAUGUGAAGGCCGAGUGACCGGCUUAAGGAAAAACCUACUAAUGUACCCCAAAAUGCAGACAUCCCUUCCAGAGGCACCCGAUAGGUGCUUCGGUGCCCAAGACUAGCACCUACUGUGUGCUGGGCGCUGCCGAGGUCAGCAAGGUUCAAUACUGAACUCUUAGGCUAAGCUACUCCUGUGGAGACGCGCUGGCUGCAGCUCGGAUGCGUGUGUCCGUUACCAAAAAAGGGUGUAAAACAUCUCACCAGUAAUGUUGAUAUUUAUUGCAUGUUGAAGUGGUAGUGCUCUCUGAUAUACUGCAAUGAAUAUUCGUUUCACUUGUGUCUUUUUAGAAUGUGAGUGCCAAAAGAAUGGCGAUGCUUCGUGUGGCUCGCAUUAUGUCGCUAUGGGACCAGCUGAUACAAGCGGGUGAUCUUUCCACGGGCACUGCGAGGUCUGUGCAGUCAUUGCCCCCCACCCCUGUCUAUUAAAAGGAACAGAAAAAACCUCCAGCGACUGAACAGCUAAGACGUGAACAACUGAGAUUUGAACCCGGGUGUUCUGGCUGUGAAGCUGGGCUGCUCAUCGCGCCUGCGCGCCCAUGUUGAUCCUAUAGUUGCUGUAAACUCACCUACUAGAUAAUACAGCCACGCCCAUAUUCAGCUAGGAAGUCGGGCUAGUAUGGGGGUCAGACCCCAAACAAGGAAGCAGGGCGGCCUCCAAAGCCAGGCGGCGGAUUGCGUGGAGGGGCCACACAGAGAAAAACCACAUCGAGGAAAACGGGAGCCAGGGGUCUCACUGCCGAGAAGGGGCUGCAAGCCCAGUAACGCGAAGAACAAGAAGGCUGUGUGGCUGGACUGGAAGCAGAGGUAUUGAUGUGAACUCAAGCUUUGCAGUGUAUGUAGCUAAAACGAUAAAUGUAAAUGUGUUUGAAGUGCCAUAGAGAUGAGCCUGGAGCAACUUACUGUGUCAGAAAGUGUGAAAUGCACAAGGAAUGAUGGAGACAUCUCAAGAAGACAAAGCAGUCAUCUUGAAGGGGCCAUGUCUGGGGCAAUUUGAGCAUCAAAAUAAAUUAUAGAAUGAGGAGAUGGCCCAUGUAAUAAAGUGUAACCCACGAGCCCACA